CCGGAGGUAGCUCAGUUGGCAGAGCAUCUGACUGUAGAUCAGGUAGUCGGUGGUUCGAUUCCGCCUCUCCGGA